rnacentral:rRNA from 1 species
GACGAACGCUGGCGGCGUGCCUAAUACAUGCAAGUUGAGCGAUGAAGAUUGGUGCUUGCACCAAUUUGAAGAGCAGCGAACGGGUGAGUAACGCGUGGGGAAUCUGCCUUUGAGCGGGGGACAACAUUUGGAAACGAAUGCUAAUACCGCAUAACAACUUUAAACAUAAGUUUUAAGUUUGAAAGAUGCAAUUGCAUCACUCAAAGAUGAUCCCGCGUUGUAUUAGCUAGUUGGUGAGGUAAAGGCUCACCAAGGCGAUGAUACAUAGCCGACCUGAGAGGGUGAUCGGCCACAUUGGGACUGAGACACGGCCCAAACUCCUACGGGAGGCAGCAUUAGGGAAUCUUCGGCAAUGGACGAAAGUCUGACCGAGCAACGCCGCGUGAUUGAAGAAGGUUUUCGGAUCGUAAAACUCUUUUGGUAGAGAAGAACGUUGGUGAGAGUGGAAAGCUCAUCAAGUGACGGAAACUACCCAGAAAGGGACGGCUAACUACGU